rnacentral:rRNA from 1 species
ACAAGUGAAUAAGUGCACAUGGUGGAUGCCUUGGCGAUAUCAGGCGAUGAAGGACGUAGUAGCUUGCGAUAAGCUACGGGGAGCGAGCAAACACGCAUUGAUCCGUAGAUUUCCGAAUGGGGAAACCCGGCCUUUAAGGUCAUUGCAACCUGAAUACAUAGGGUUGCAAAGCGAACGCGGCGAACUGAAACAUCUAAGUAGCUGCAGGAAAAGAAAUCAACCGAGAUUCCCAAAGUAGUGGCGAGCGAAAUGGGAACAGCCGCAAGUGAUAGCAGCAGACAUAGUGGAAGGUCCUGGAAAUGGCCGCCAUAGAGGGUGAUAGCCCCUUACACGAAAUGUCAGUUGUGGUACUAGGCUUGCAACAAGUAGGGCGGGACACGAGAAAUCCUGUCUGAACAUGGGGGGACCAUCCUCCAAGGCUAAAUACUCGAUAUCGACCGAUAGUGAACCAGUACCGUGAGGGAAAGGCGAAAAGAACCCCGGAAGGGGAGUGAAAUAGAUCCUGAAACCGUGUGCAUACAAACAGUAGGAGCCUCGCAAGGGGUGACUGCGUACCUUUUGUAUAAUGGGUCAGCGACUUACAUUCAGUGGCGAGGUUAACCGAAUAGGGAAGCCGUAGAGAAAUCGAGUCCGAACAGGGCGACAGUCGCUGGGUGUAGACCCGAAACCAAGUGAUCUACCCAUGGCCAGGAUGAAGGUGCGGUAACACGCACUGGAGGUCCGAACCCACUAAUGUUGAAAAAUUAGGGGAUGAGCUGUGGGUAGGGGUGAAAGGCUAAACAAACUUGGAAAUAGCUGGUUCUCUCCGAAAACUAUUUAGGUAGUGCCUCAAGUAUCACCAUCGGGGGUAGAGCACUGUCAUGGCUAGGGGGUCAUCGCGACUUACCAAACCAUUGCAAACUCCGAAUACCGAUGAGUGCGAGCUUGGGAGACAGACGUCGGGUGCUAACGUCCGGCGUCAAGAGGGAAACAACCCAGACCGCCAGCUAAGGUCCCAAAGAUUGGCUAAGUGGAAAACGAAGUGGGAAGGCUAAAACAGUCAGGAGGUUGGCUUAGAAGCAGCCAUCCUUUAAAGAAAGCGUAAUAGCUCACUGAUCGAGUCGUCCUGCGCGGAAGAUGUAACGGGGCUAAGCCAGUCACCGAAGCUGCGGAUAUGCGUAAGCAUAUGGUAGGAGAGCGUUCUGUAAGCCUGCGAAGGUGUCUUGUAAAGGAUGCUGGAGGUAUCAGAAGUGCGAAUGCUGACAUGAGUAGCGAUAAUGGGGGUGAAAAGCCCCCACGCCGUAAGCCCAAGGUUUCCUGUUCAACGUUCAUCGGAGCAGGGUGAGUCGGCCCCUAAGGCGAGGCAGAGAUGCGUAGCUGAUGGGAAGCAGGUUAAUAUUCCUGCACCGUCGUAUGAUGCGAUGGGGGGACGGAUCGCGGAAGGUUGUCCGACUGUUGGAAUAGUCGGUCCCUAACUUAAAGAAGGUGUCUAGGCAAAUCCGGGCACGUAAUUCAAGGGGUUGGGGCGAGCGAACUUGUUCGCGAAGCAAUCGGAAGUGGUUCCAAGAAAAGCCUCUAAGCUUCAGUCAUACGAGACCGUACCGCAAACCGACACAGGUGGGCGAGAUGAGUAUUCUAAGGCGCUUGAGAGAACUCGGGAGAAGGAACUCGGCAAAUUGGUACCGUAACUUCGGGAUAAGGUACGCCCUUGUAGUUUGACUGGCUCGCGCCAGAAGGACGAAAGGGUUGCAAUAAACUGGUGGCUGCGACUGUUUAAUAAAAACACAGCACUCUGCAAACACGAAAGUGGACGUAUAGGGUGUGACGCCUGCCCGGUGCUGGAAGAUUAAAUGAUGGGGUGCAAGCUCUUGAUUGAAGUCCCAGUAAACGGCGGCCGUAACUAUAACGGUCCUAAGGUAGCGAAAUUCCUUGUCGGGUAAGUUCCGACCUGCACGAAUGGCGUAACGAUGGCCACACUGUCUCCUCC